AGGGGAGUGCUGUUGGAGUGGCUUUGAUUCAGCCACCUCUGAAGCAACUUUCCAUC
rnacentral:pre_miRNA from 1 species